AGCAGCCGCGGUAAUUCCAGCUCCAAUAGCGUAUAUUAAAGUUGUUGCAGUUAAAAAGCUCGUAGUUGAAUUUCGGGGUUAGCAGGUCGGUCGUGCCAUCGGUAUGAACUGGUCUCGCUGAUCCCUCCCUCUUGACGAACUGUGAUGCCAUUAAUUUGGUGUCGCAGGGAAUCAGGACUGUUACUUUGAAAAAUUAGAGUGUUUAAAGCAGGCUCACGCUUGAAUACAUUAGCAUGGAAUAAUGAAAUAGGACGUUUGAUCCUAUUUUGUUGGUUUCUAGGAUUGACGUAAUGAUUAAUAGGGAUAGUUGGGGGUCAUUAGUAUUCAAUUGUCAGAGGUGAAAUUCUUGGAUUUAUUGAAGACUAACUACUGCGAAAGCAUUUGCCAAGGAUGUUUUCAUUAAUCAAGAACGAAAGUUAGGGGAUCGAAGACGAUCAGAUACCGUCGUAGUCUUAACCAUAAACUAUGCCGACUAGGGAUCGGAUGAUGUAAUUUUUAAUGA
rnacentral:rRNA from 1 species